UACGUAGGGUGCAAGCAUUAAUCGGAGUUAUUGGGCGUAAAGGGCGCGUAGGCGGUUUAGUAAGUCUUGAUGUGAAAUUCCUGGGCUCAACCUAGGAGCUGCAUGAGAAACUACUAAACUCGAGGAUGGACGGAGAGAACGGAAUUCCACAAGUAGCGGUGAAAUGCGUAGAUAUGUGGAAGAACACCUGUGGCGAAGGCGGUUCUCCUAGUUUAUUCCUGACGCUGAGGCGCGAAAGCAAGGGGAGCAAACAGG
rnacentral:rRNA from 1 species